GACAUCGGUUACUAUCAGGUAAGCCUGUAAAGCAGCGAGCUAAUUUACCUCCCAAAAGAUUCGCCAUCAAAGAGUGGCGCUGUGGCCCCGUUCAAAUACACGCGUCCAUCCAAGGCGUCUUUGCGUCACACUUCAGGGAGGUAAACACAGCAGUCGAGUGGAGAGGACGCUGAGUCAAGCGUGAAGAUCAAUCUACCUGCGUCAGGGCCAGCACCCACCUGCUCCCAGGUGUCUCCACCCGAUGUCCAUGAAGGGAAAGAGUUUCCACACAGGUG